GUGUCAGCAGCCGCGGUAAUACGUAGGGGGCAAGCGUUGUCCGGAAUCAUUGGGCGUAAAGCGCGUGUAGGCGGCCGAUCAAGUCCGAUGUGAAAGCUCGAGGCUCAACCUCGAGUCUGCAUUGGAAACUGCUCGGCUAGAGUCCGGAAGAGGAGACUGGAAUUCCUGGUGUAGCGGUGAAAUGCGCAGAUAUCAGGAAGAACACCGGUGGCGAAGGCGGGUCUCUGGGACGGUACUGACGCUGAGACGCGAAAGCGUGGGGAGCAAACAGGAUUAGAAACCCUUGUAGUCC
rnacentral:rRNA from 1 species